GAAGGCUGAGUGCAUUCAUUCAUCCUACCAACCCCUGACGUGUGUAUUGUGUGUCCCACGCUGAACAGAUCUCUUCAUUUCCAAGUUCAAGCAUCACUGACCAAGACUAACUGCAAAUAAGCUCUUGAAGGAAUGCCGAGGAGAAAGAAACCCUUGAAAAGCCUGGCCUCCC
rnacentral:lncRNA from 1 species